rnacentral:tRNA from 1 species
GCGGCCGUAGUUUAACGGCAAAACUCAGCUUCGCCAGAGCAAAGUUACGGGUUCGAUUCCCGUCGGCCGCU